rnacentral:lncRNA from 1 species
GAAAAGUCUGAUUGCUUAAUUCUCACGCAAUACGGUUUUUUCUGAACUCGCAGUCGCAAUAAUAAUAUUUCCUUUCUCACUCACUCAUUCAAUUCUUUCAUUAAUUUCACUCUAUUCUUUCACUAAUUUCACUCUAUUCUUUCACUAAUUUCUUUCUCAAUCGAUCAAAGAUGCUUAUCAUCUAUCAAGACUCUCCCUCACCACCUUCUUCAUCACACGCUCCACCGUCUUCGUUGUCGGGACCCUUAUCCCCCACCCCACUCUCUUAUUGCUUACCUCGCACUCCACCGCCAUCGUGGCCGGGAGUUGCGGCGGCGACACCCUCGUCAUCGCCCACACCACUGUCGUGCAUGAUAAAGAAAGCAGAGAAGGAGGCACAUUUAUUUCUGGAAAAUAAUAGAAAGUUACAAAACACGAAGGAAGCUUUAGAGGCAAAGCGAACACAACAAAUUCGCAUUCUUAUGUCUAUGCGCUGAUUAAUAAAACAACAAAUCCUUCUUCUUCCUUCACUCAUGUCACGUGGUUUUGUUUUUUCAUUUUAUAAAAUUGAUUUCUCCAUCUUAACUUUGUUUCUCUCUUAGGAUAUCGCGAACAAGAUUCUAAAUUUGGAUCGUCAAAGGUUUUAGGAGUUGUUGAAACUACAUCAUACAGUUGACGUCUAGGAACAUACUUCUAUUCAGGAGCAACCUUUGUUAACGAAGCUGAGUAUCUCAUGUCCUGUCCUGUCCCGUUUUUUGUUUUUUGUUUUUAUUUCAAUUAAUUGCAAUUAACAUUAAAUUGAUUGAUUUUUGUUGCAACGUAUGUCUGCAUUAACUGAAACAUUCAAAUUUUGGUAUCCAUGAAUUUGACAUGUUCUUUAAUUUGCAACUAUUCCAAUUUCAUUUAUGGUAUACUAUUUACUCGUGAGCUAUUUUCUCAUACUCCAUUGAGUAUUCUCAAACAUGAAGAGUUCUUGCUUUUAACCUGAACCCUAAACUCCAGAUCCAUUGAUAUGGGUCAGUGAUGCUGACUUUGCAAUUGAUCUAAUUGGUUAUUCCUUUUUUGUUGGAAUCUAGGUGGAAAGGGUAAGUCUUCGAAGAAACCCACGUUGGUCGCGUC